AUGACCUGAGCCGAAGUUGGACGCUUAACUGACUGGGCCACCCAGGCGCCCCUGACACUGGCAAGUCUAACAGAAGGAUAAUGCAGGUUUACAACAUUGGCCUGAGGCCUGAGGGCCACACUUGGAAAACCAGCUGGAAUGAAGGAAGCUGCAGGGAACAAAAAAAGGAAGUACAUAAACCAUCUUUCAGCCAUGGCAGUUGGGAAGGAUACUGCGACACCAGACACGCUGCCGUCUCAAUAGAACACCACAGCAGUUGCCAAGAACAACUACUUGCUCCAGUUUCAGAGUCCCGGGUGGUCCAAUCUCAGUAGAAAAUUCUAAGCAUUUUGGUGUGAUUUGUUAACUCCACAAAUAUUUAUUGGAUGCCUACUAAGUGCCAAGCACAAAGCCAUGAGUUUAUAAUACGCCUGGGAAACAGUUCUCUGGUCAAAGGACACACGGUUAAUCAGGUGACAAGCAAGUGUUGCUGAGCCAAAAGAGAGGGAGAGCGACGAAUGCUCAAUUGGAAGUUUUAGCUGAGGGUCAGAAGACCUGGCGCCACCCAGGUGAAGCCUGGAAGUGGGACACGUGCGCCACGGCCUUGGGCUCCGGGGUCCAAGGCGCCCCGCGCUGGUCCGCGGGCGCUCCCUCUCCACUCCCGGACACUUGGAUCCCGGCCACGUCCGCACCCUCCGAGUGAGUGUGGGUGAUUUCGAAAGUGGGCGUGACCGGCCCCGGGGGAACGGGUGCUAGGAAGUGGGAGUGAGCGGGGAGGCGGGGCGG